AAUGGAGGAAACUCUGAUGCAGCGAUGCCGCGUGAGUGAAGAAGGCCCUUGGGUUGUAAAGCUCUUUCGUCGGGGAAGAAAAUGACUGUACCCGAAUAAGAAGGUCCGGCUAACUUCGUGCCAGCAGCCGCGGUAAUACGAAGGGGCCUAGCGUAGUUCGGAAUUACUGGGCUUAAAGAGUUCGUAGGUGGUUGAAAAAGUUGGUGGUGAAAUCCCAGAGCUUAACUCUGGAACUGCCAUCAAAACUUUUCAGCUAGAGUAUGAUAGAGGAAAGCAGAAUUUCUAGUGUAGAGGUGAAAUUCGUAGAUAUUAGAAAGAAUACCAAUUGCGAAGGCAGCUUUCUGGAUCAUUACUGACACUGAGGAACGAAAGCAUGGGGAGCGAACAGGAUU
rnacentral:rRNA from 1 species